GGAGCCAUAGAGAGGGAUGCCAAUCCAACCUUAGGCAAAGAAACCUGCCAUGGGAGUCUUGGAUAUUGGCAACUGUCAUAAUGACUUA
rnacentral:pre_miRNA from 1 species